AAUCGUUACAAUGUACAUGUGUC
rnacentral:piRNA from 1 species